AGGACUUGAUGCUGUGGAAGGUUAUCACACGGGAUCAGAAAGCUUUAUCUCAUUUGGUUUACAGAGCAUUAUUCAUCAAAAGAACUCCUACACCAUACAUUUCACAAGACUUUUAAAGAGACUUUUAUUCUUGUUCCAGGAUGGGGAAAAUGUGCAUGUCAAUCUCACUAUAUACAGUGCUAGUCUUCCUACCAAGUAAGAGAUACAGGAUAAGCAGUGACAGUGAGGCUGUGUGAAAGGUAGAGGGGAAGCAGUGAUGGGGAGGCUGUGUGAGAGAUACAGGAGAGACACUAAUCCUGAGAAGAGGCAGAAUUGUGGGACACCAUAUAAGAAGUAUGGGGAGGCAAAGAUAAGGGAUUAGAAGGAUUUGGGUGAUGAAGUUGUAGUUAAAUCACUACACUGAGCUGAGUCUAGGUAGCAUGCAAACAUGCAUUUAUCAAGGAUUUAAUGUCUUUUGCAGAUUUAAUUUACAAUUUAAUAUGAUUUUAAGGUUUGUGAGAUGUAAAACUGUUUUACAAUUUAUUGUAUGCCCAUCAGUCCAUAAAACAUUAAACACUGGACCUAUUAUUAUUAUAUAAAAAAAAAGUUUAUAUUUAUUAAUCUUUCUGUGUUUUCUGACAGGUCUGUGUCUUGGGGUGAAGGUUGAACAGGGUUCUAAACUAAUCAUCGUUCAGGCUGGGAGUCCUGUAGAACUACAAUGUAUAUAUGAUGACUCCAGCUAUCCUACAAUGUUUUGGUAUCAACAGCGCCCCGAAGAGGGACUCAAGCUUAUGAUAUAUUCUACAAGUGAUAAUGCCAAGUCUGAUGCCAUGGAAGAUGGGUUCGAGUCGUGGACUUGGAACAGAACAACUCUUCUGAAGUCCACCCUAAAAUUGUCCAGUUCUGAGACUACAGAUUCGGCUGUGUAUUUCUGUGCCGUCAGUAAA